GUACAGGCCUGCUGAUCUGCGUCGCGGCCAUGACAGUUACUACAGACGUCAGCAGUCACUAGUCAAAGAAAAUUCUUACGGCUUACGUAUAAACGUGGACAAAGGUGUUUCAAGAUAUCUUCAACGAUAAUCCUAUGGAUAUUACGAUAAUAACGUUUAAUUGAUACGUUUCCCAGAAGGCCACACGAUAAGUGCAUCCAAUUAGUAAACUAAGAAGAUCCUAACAACGUAGUGAAAAAUCUUUAACAAUGGAAUAUCACAAUAUUCCCAGCAUAUAAUCUCAAACCAAGCCGCUACCGAAUGCAGUGAACGGAAAGCCAAUGGACCAGACGAAAUUUCAAUAUUCUUCAAUCCCGAUACCAGAAGCCGUUACGACACACAAGACUAUUUUAAGGAGAGAUCUUCGCGUUGAGAACAGUGGACGAAGGAUCAGUGACUCAGCAAAAUGGCGUAGACUCCACACUCCUUCCUACCCUCUUCUGUCCUUUUACAUUCUUUUCUUUUUUCUAUAUACUGUCAAAAUCAACUCGCCGACAUCAUCCCGGUCUCCCGUCCGUGAUCCCUGAGGAUAUCGUGACAAGGGUGCAGGGGGACGUCGGGGUGCUCAGACAAGGUGGAUAGGGGGAGUCGGGGAAGGAGGAAGAAGGAUGAGAAUGACGGGCAUUAUAACUACGUUAUAAACGCGAGUAUAAAAAUCAAAUUUGCGGCGUCUCUAUACGCCGCCCGGAUAAGAUAUUAUUCCACCCUAUUGGAAGCAGCGUUCUCCAGUCGCUUCCAUCCCCCCGUAGCUCAACCCCUUAAAAUAAUCUAUUUGCUCGGAUAUUGCUUUCGUCGGGAAGAUUUUUUAAGCCUUCCUCAAUGCUAUGUCCCUACGUUUCAUUCGAUAUAACGGGUGAUCCGUACUAGCUCGUAAAAGUCAUCGUUAGCGACAGCCAAGGUAGGAGUAGGUGUUUUAUUGACGUAUCUUCGCCACGUGAGAGAAUCUCGUUCAGGACUUCGCGCCUUGUCUGGCAGAUUAAUAGGAAGUUGGAUGGAAUCGGCUGGCGAAUUUGUAAACGGGAUAUUUUCAAGUUGGUACUUUUGUAUGUUGUUCAAUUUUUAUUAAUUAAAGUUGGCAUGCUGUUACGUAUAGCUGGGUAUGGUUAGGGGUUUGAGUGUAUAUGAUAUGUAUAUAAGUAAGGGAAGCUAUGUGCUCAUAUACUGAACCUUCAAUCCUCAGGAAAAUCCAGUUGGGAAUUGCAGUUUUUAGGACUGACGGAGUUGCAGAAAUAAUGGAACUACGUCACGAAGGAAUGUAAACGUAACGUGCAACAUACUUGGAACAGUUAUGCACAGCUUACGCGGACCGAUCCAUCAUGCAAGAACAUGGCGGACUAUUUGUCAUGCGAGUCCCGUCCCGCACUUUUUCCAAUGGGCCACUUCGCUCUAUCUGCAGCCUGGACGUUCCCGAUUAACCAUUCUACGUCGACUAUUUUGUUCAUGCCCGCAUAUAAUAUCAUCGAUUUGCAUAUAUCUAGGUAUACUUCUGCGUCACUCUGUACCGAAUGGAUAAUUCGAGGGCUUCGGAGUCCAAGGGGCUCAAUGAAAUUCAUCAUUAUUUUAUUCACUUGAUUGUACCUAUACUUCAUUCGGAAUAGCUUUUUGGACGUGUAUUAUUGAUGUAUCAUUAUAGAUAAUUUUCAUGCUUUAUUUUCGUCCUGUGAUAUCAGCUAUGUAUAUGUGUGUUUGUGGGUCAUGUGUGUCAUAUAUCAGUGUGAUGCGGAAUAGAUGCAAUUAAAUGAAUUUAAACAAUAUGAUGCAGCCGCUUAUGCAAAUGCAGUUACUCGACCCUGUUGAGGUACGACACUGCGCAAUUGUAUAUUUUGAUAUUUAUAUGUGAUAUACGUCAGGAUUUAUCGGGUGUUUUGAAAAUGAGUUUGAUAACAAGAUAUUCGUUUCAUUAUAUCAAUUUUUAGAUAUACUGUUUUAGUAGUGACUUGUAGAGUAUGAAGACAUGAGACAAAAUUAUUUAGUAUGCAGUGGAUCUGCAAUUGAUCAAUCAGAAGUAUAAAUAGCAUAGCUAAUGAAACUGUAUGAUAUAGUCUGGGUAUACUUUGGAAAUGUGUUACUAAAAUGUAGCAUAGGUAAAGGUUCGUUCUACGCUAUUGCAUUGUUGGAAGGUGCGCAAAUGACGUAAGACAUAUCCUCCAGUAUCGUGUUUGUAUUGCCAGAUAAAAGACGGACGAGGCAGACAAGGGAGCUAUAGCUGUGCCAAGGAAGACUUUGGACUGGUACAGGGUGCGUCAACGAUGCUCCGAAGUAAGAAAAGUUUGUAAACACAGACCGGCCUGCACUUAGGAGUGAAUAGAUUUGAGGGCAUCGUUGACGAACCCUGCACAAAUUGUAAUUGACAAAUUGGUCGCGGGAGGUCAGCGCUUGUUUAUCGGUACUCGGGCGGGAGGGGGUAGUCACUGGGACGCGGCAGAAUUUAUUAGCCUGGCCUUUAGUCUUCCGAGAGCCGAUCUCCUAUUUCGGGAUCUUUGACGCCGCGAACUUCCGUUCUUCCUUUCUUCCCCUGUCUUCUUCUCAUUAAGGCUUUUCUUCAUCUUCCUCUCGUCUGUCUGCUGAGGUAUAUUCACUUGAUUAUUUACUUUUCUCUCUCUCUUGCUCUGGGCCGACUUCUCUGCCUCUGUCUUUCUUUCUUUGUGUUACCUGUCUUCCACGUUUUUUCCGCUGGGCUAUACCUCAUUCGCGAUAUCACUUUGUUAUCACAGUCAGCUCUAUUAAGUCAGCAACAUAACUCUCUUGUUUGUCAAAGUCUGAACUCUCGUGUCUCAUUGCCCUAUAUCAUCUUUUUCUCGAGGUUCUCUCCCUCGGACCUUCAGCCUAUUUCACUCCGUUUCCCCCUGUACCCCUUACCGCCACUUCCGAAACCGCGUAACACCGCGAGUCCAUUUAAACAACCGCACCGCAGUCAUUCGGUGUCGCGCGCGAAAAUCCGCGAAUUUAGCCACAGACGUAACAAGUGAACAAUUAGCCCGCAUCCGAAAUACGCUUAGUGCAAAGACAAGUGCCAAGAUCCGAAUCCUCGAGUCGUCGCCUGAAUGGACCACGAGUACCGAAGAGGAUGGAGACUGGUUCUACGGAUGGACUGCAGGCAAAACCAUUGAGAAGACGGAGAGUCCCGUGAUACCUCAACUACACCCAGGGGCACAAUCGUCAAUUCCUACUUGAUCCGAAACAGCGUCUGAUAAAUGAAUGAAGAGGAUCGUCUUCACUUCGAGACCUGGUCCGAAGAGCUUUGCAGAAAAUCAAGUCGACUUGAUUUGAAGGGACCAGUACAUCAGUGUAUAGCUGAAUAAAUGGUCCAGCCCAGUCGACCAGGUCCAUAUUUCUUUGAUCCCAAAUCAUUCUACCAGCUACCAUGGUUACUGUGGGUUUCAUGCAGGACCAGAAAUCCCGAAACAGUCAAAAUAUUUCAUCGUCAUCCGAUAUCUAUGGAUCUUGGCGGUAAAACAAGACGAGAAAACUCUGAGGCGAUCUACUCGGAACAAGAUAUCCGACGAUUACGUAGAUAAGAGAUUCCUCUUGCCCCGUGGAUCGUGACUUUCGAUCUGGACGAGAGGGGCGAUUGCGUUUCACGAGAUCGCAUGGAAAUUUCUAAGACUCGAAUCACCGGAUGCCCUUCCGAACCGGAAGUCCAAAGGAAUGGAAAAUUCUCGCUUAACAACUGCGACGAGCGUCCGUGACGGUGGCCCGUCUAUGUAUAUCGAACGAAGGAGAUAACGCUCCUCUUUACCUGGAUGCGCUGUAAAGAAUGAGUAUACCUCCGAGUGAACAAAGAUACUCGUGGAAUUGUCUGACUCGGUGAUACUCCAGACACGUCACCAUACAAGAGAACGAUCUAAUUUUCGUGUGAGCUCAGGCACCAGCACCAGCAGCAGCAGCAGCAGCUUUAUUUGAACGUCCUUCUCAGGAACGAGUGGUGGAAGAAA